AUAUGCAGUUCGCGGUGAUAGAUAUGAAUUUAAGUAUGAAAAAUUUCUUGAACUGCAUUGUUAUUAUUGUAAAACUAGUUUUCAAUGUUAAUUGUAUUGUGUAUUUUUGUUAUAGUAUUUGCAUUCCCAUUACACUUAAAGGCAUCAUUUCUCUUGAAGGACUCGCAUGUUGUUGAAAGUUCGAGACGCGGAUGGAAGAUGCUGUCAUUAUCGCUCGUUAAAAGAUGACCGACAUGAGGAAGAGGACGGGAUGGCAGAGGAACCACAGGAAGCAUCCCUGCAGAACACAAGGAACACCACAUGACCACCUGAGGAACUGUCGCGACAGCCGUGGACGCCGGAGACUGUUCCCACUGUAGAGGUCUGGACUGAGGCUUCCUGCCCCGGCUCAGAGUCCAGCCCAUGCACAGACUCAGUAACAUGUACAGCAUGGACACCUGGGACACCAUAUCCCAGACUGCACAGGGAACAAAAAGUUCUUGAACGCAUCAUGUGUAAGGAACGCCUAUGCAGCAACGCCAUCCUGCUGUGUAAACAUGGUGGGCACCCUUCGAUCUCCCCCCAGCUUUACCUGAUUCUACCUGGCCAGGUGGAUGUAGUUGCAGAGAGCGGAGCAGGCCUGUAACGCCAGCGCUGUUGUCAGCACUUUGAGGACGGUGUGCAUGGGACCUCCUUUCCUCAGAGCCUGGUACAGAGGCUGGAUGUAGAUGCAG